rnacentral:rRNA from 8 species
AAAUUGAAGAGUUUGAUCAUGGCUCAGAUUGAACGCUGGCGGCAGGCCUAACACAUGCAAGUCGAACGGUAACAGGAAGCAGCUUGCUGCUUUGCUGACGAGUGGCGGACGGGUGAGUAAUGUCUGGGAAACUGCCUGAUGGAGGGGGAUAACUACUGGAAACGGUGGCUAAUACCGCAUAACGUCGCAAGACCAAAG